AUUGAACGCUGGCGGCAGGCCUAACACAUGCAAGUCGAGCGAGCGGCGGACGGGUGAGUAAUGUAUGGGAAACUGCCCGAUGGAGGGGGAGAACUACUGGAAACGGUAGCUAAUACCGCAUACCAUCAGAUGUGCCCAUAUGGGAUUAGCUAGAAGGUGGGGUAACGGCUCACCUAGGCGACGAUCCCUAGCUGGUCUGAGAGGAUGACCAGCCACACUGGAACUGAGACACGGCCCAGACUCCUACGGGAGGCAGCAGUGGGGAAUAUUGCACAAUGGGCGCAAUUCUGAGGCAGCCAUGCCGCGUGUGUGAAGAAGGCCUUCGGGUUGUAAAGCACUUUCAGCGGGGAGGCGUUACCCGCAGAAGAAGCACCGGCUAACUCCGUGCCAGCAGCCGCGGUAAUAC
rnacentral:rRNA from 1 species